UACGUAGGGGGCAAGCGUUGUCCGGAUUUAUUGGGCGUAAAGAGCGUGUAGGCGGCCUGGAAGGUCAGCUGUGAAAACUCGAGGCUCAACCUCGAGACGUCGGUUGAAACCACCUGGCUAGAGUCCGGAAGAGGAGAGUGGAAUUCCUGGUGUAGCGGUGAAAUGCGCAGAUAUCAGGAAGAACACCAAUGGCGAAAGCAGCUCUCUGGGACGGUACUGACGCUGAGGCGCGAAAGCUAGGGGAGCGAACAGG
rnacentral:rRNA from 1 species